GUCCAGACUCCUACGGGAGGCAGCAGUGGGGAAUAUUGCACAAUGGGGGAAACCCUGAUGCAGCGACGCCGCGUGAGUGAAGAAGUACUUCGUUAUGUAAAGCUCUAUCAGCAGGGAAGAAAAUGACGGUACCUGAGUAAGAAGCCCCGGCUAACUACGUGCCAGCAGCCGCGGUAAUACGUAGGGGGCAAGCGUUACCCGGAUUUACUGGGUGUAAAGGGAGCGUAGACGGCAGUGCAAGUCUGGAGUGAAAGGCGGGGGCUCAACCCCCGGACUGCUCUGGAAACUGUACGGCUGGAGUGCAGGAGAGGUAAGUGGAAUUCCUAGUGUAGCGGUGAAAUGCGUAGAUAUUAGGAGGAACACCAGUGGCGAAGGCGGCUUACUGGACUGUAACUGACGUUGAGGCUCGAAAGCGUGGGGAGCAAACAG
rnacentral:rRNA from 1 species